AACGAACGCUGGCGGCAUGCCUAACACAUGCAAGUCGAACGAGACCUUCGGGUCUAGUGGCGCACGGGUGCGUAACGCGUGGGAACCUGCCCUUAGGUUCGGAAUAACUCCCCGAAAGGGGUGCUAAUACCGGAUAAUGUCUUCGGACCAAAGAUUUAUCGCCUUUGGAUGGGCCCGCGUUGGAUUAGCUAGUUGGUAGGGUAAAAGCCUACCAAGGCGACGAUCCAUAGCUGGUCUGAGAGGAUGAUCAGCCACACUGGGACUGAGACACGGCCCAGACUCCUACGGGGGGAGGAGGGGGGGAAUUUGGAACAAGGGGCGAAGGCCGGACCAACCAAGCCCGGGGGGGUGAUGAGGCCUUUGGGUGUGAAAGCUUUUUUUCCCGGGGAGAAAAAUAACAUAACCGGGAAAAUAGGCCCCGGCUACCCCCGUC
rnacentral:rRNA from 1 species